GGAGUUUGGACCGUGUCUCAGUUCCAAUGUGGGGGACCUUCCUCUCAGAACCCCUACUGAUCGAUGGCUCGGUGGGCCGUUACCCCGCCGACUACCUAAUCAGACGCAUCCCCAUCCUAUAGCGGUAAACCUUUGUUCCAUUUUAGAUGUCUGCAUUGGAAAACAUAGAGUAUUAAUCCGACUUUCGCCGGGCUAUCCUCUACUAUAGGGAAGGUUGGAUACGCGUUACUCACCCGUGCGCCGGUCGCCAUCAAUCAAAGCAAGCUAUCGCCCUGCUGCCCCUCGACUUGCAUGUGUUAAGCCUGUAGCUAGCGUUCAUC
rnacentral:rRNA from 1 species